CACGCAGGUGGUGAGAAUAGUUGGAUGUGAAAGCCCGGAGCUUAACUUCGGAAAUGCAUCCAAUACUGUCUCGCUGGAGUCCGGAAGAGGAGAGUGGAAUUCCCAGUGUAGAGGUGAAAUUCGUAGAUAUUGGGAAGAACACCAGUGGCGAAGGCGGCUCUCUGGUCCGGUACUGACACUCAAGUGCGAAAGCGUGGGGAGCAAACA
rnacentral:rRNA from 1 species